GUCUCGCAGCAGGGCCAUCUGCUCCUUCUUCAGAAAGCUGAUGUGGCGUUGCACGCUCUGGAUCUGAUGCUCCAGGGACGUGGUAUCCAUGGCAGCCCAGGCCUGGACCCCACCUGGGGAGGACCACAAGGUCCUUGCACUUGCUGGCAGCUUUUCUAGGCUGCUGAGCUAUAACCCCAGCCCUUGGAGAAGAAAAAUUUGAGGAGCAUUUGGUUAACCCUGUCAUUGUGAGCUGAAGGCAGAUACCCAGAACGACAGACCUGUGCCACUGCACCCAGCAGGCAACUGAAUCUCUGACUGCAAAGAAGUUCCUCAGAACUGACUGUGGGAAUGGUCCUGGCCUGGAGCUGAGUCUUGGUUCUUGCAGUUCUCUGCUGUGUCUCUGUGGGAGUGAAAGUAUCCUGUGGGGCCUCUCCAACCUUUGCUGGUAUAGGCGGGGCCAAGAAUAGAACCAUCCUAGGAUGGCUGUGAGAAUUAAACAAGAUAGGAAAUACUGCGGAAAGCACUCGGUCAGGGCUGGCUCAAUCAGUGCGGCCUGCAUCACUUCUUCCUUCUCUUUUCUGCCCACUCCCUGUGUGAGCAGGUAAUUCUGUCCUUACUUGCCUAGUUUUCCAUUUAUUCAUUCUACUGUUGCCAAGCCCUUGCUCAGUGUGCAGGAUGCAGGGAUACAAUAACAAGUACCUGCUUUCAGGGAGUUCACAGUGCAAAGGGAGAGAGACAAAAGGAGAAUGUGUCUAAUGACCCAACAACAGGCCAAAGAGGCAUAUAAUUACUAUCUGUGAGAAAUGCCAUAAUAAAGAAACUUAUACAGUCAGGUGUGGUGGUGCCACCUGGAAUCUUAGCACUUGGGAGUCUGAGGUAGAAGGAUCACAAACUUAGGGAAAAAAAAAAAAUGCCCCAAGUACACACACUACAGUAUGGAAGAAUAUAAAACCAACCUGUUUCACUUUUUUUUUUUUAACCUUCUUUUUGUUUUUUUCUCAGACAGGGUCUCACCAUGUAGUUUAUGUUGGCCUUGAACUUCCUGUGUAGUACAGGCAGGCCUUGAAUUUAUAGUGAUCCUCCUGCCUCAGCCUACUGACUGCUGGGAUUAUGGAUAUACACCACCACACCCAGCAUCCUGUUUUAUUGUAAAAAAUAUUCUUCUAUGGCACUGGGAGUCAAACUCAGGGCCUGUUACGUGCUAGGCAAGUGUUAUACCCAUACCCCUAGCUCAUGGGAUUUACUUUACAUUUGGGAUCGGGGAAGAUCUUUUUCUUUGUCUUUUUGAGACAGGGUCUCACGGUGCAGUUCAGCCUGACUCUGGGCUCACUUUGUUGCCCAGACUGGUCUCAAAUUUGCAAUGAUCCUCCUGUCUCAGCCUCCUGAGUGCUGGGAUUAUACAUGUACACCAUCACCCUCAGCUAGGAAGUGACUUUUAGGUUGAGAUUCUGUGGCAGGCAGAAUCCUAAAAUGUUGUCCAAAUUUCCCAACCUGAAGUACACUCACCCUCAGGUGUUAUCUCUUCCUCUUGAGUGUGAGAAACACUAUGCAUCUGAUGAAUUUCCCUCCAGUGACAAGGUCACAUGCCAAGGGGAAAGGGGUUUGCAGAUGUAAUCCAGAUCUCUAAUGAGAUGACUUUGAGUUAAUCAAAAGGAAGACAUGCUAGAUGGGUCAGAUCUAAUCAGAUAAAUGUUCAGAGGAACUCAGAGUAGAGGAUUCUGCUAAAAUGUGUCAGACUCCUGACUUUUAAGAAGUGAGAUAAUAAGUUUAUGUGGCUUUUGUUUUAUCUUGUUUGUCGGGCUGGAGUCUAAGGCAUGCAAUUACAGCACUUGGGAACCUUUCUCAACAAAACAAAACAAAACAAAACCAAGCCUAGGGUAUGCUAGGCAAGCACUGUGCCACGGAGCUAUGCCCCCAGCCCUAAAUUUAUGUUGUUUUAACCCAGUACAUUUGUGAUGAUUUGUUUUAGAGCGCAGACCAGAUGACGUAGAGAUGUCUAGAAUCCCAGCACCUCAGCAGGCUGAGAGAGGAGAACUGCAAGUUUGAGGCCAGCCUAGACAACUUAGUGAGAAGCUGUCUCAAAAUAAAAACAAAGGGCUGAGGACGUAGCCGAGUGAUACAGCACCUUUCAGUUCAGUCCUCUCAAUUACAAAAACAAAACACAAGAACAGGUUAGCAGGAGAGCGGGAGUCAGAAAGACAACUCUAACAUGGAAGAGCCUCUGUGAAGGCAAAGUGAUCAUAACAGCAGCUUACAUUUAUUAAACACCUGCUGCAUGCUGAACUUUUUUCCCCUUCUUUUGAGACAGGGUCUCGAUAUGUAGUUCAGGGUGGUCUUGAUCUCACUAUGUAGCCCCAGCUGGCCUCAAACUCACAGAAAUCCUUCUGAGUGCGGAGAUUACAGGCAUGCAGCACCAUCCCCGGCCCUGCAUGCUGAAUUUUGAGCUAAGGGCUUCACAUGUCUGUUUGAAGAACUGAGACCCUGCUGUCCUAGUAGGAGCUGAAGUGCAAGGCCUUGGGGGUGGGUCACAGGAAGUCAUGUUAGGAAUUUUUGGUCAACAUUAGAUGACUCUGAACUGGAGAUGUGGCUCUGUGGUAGACUGCUUGAAGCCCAAGGCUCUGUGAUUUUAUUGCCAGCAAUGCAAAAAGAGUACUAAGUGACUUUGGAGGUUAAUAAGGGAUUUUUUUUUUCUUACUGGGGAUCAAACUCACGAACCCAUGUUUACCAGGCAAGCACUUGUGCCACUGAGCUAAAUCCCUGGCCCUAUUUAGGGAUUUUAAACAGAGGAGGUACAUGACAUGGUUUGUCUCUCAUAUAGUUCAGGCUGGCCUUGAACUCGUGGUGAUCCUCUAGCCUCACGCUCCCAAGUACUGAGAUUACAGAUGUGUGCCACCUGCAUGAUUUGUGGGUUGGUGUUUUGUUUUGUUUGUUGGUGUGAGUGUGUGUUGAUGGGGGUUGAACCCAGGGACUUGUACAUGCUAGAUAAAUACUUUACCACGGAGCAACAUUUCCUAGCCCCGUUUCCCCUUCUGAAACAUGGUUUUGCUAAAUUGCCCAGGUUAGCCUCAAACUUGUGAUCUUCCUGCCUCAACCUCCCAGGUAGCUGGGGUUACAGGUAUGCACAACCACACUUGGCUCUGAUUUAUUUUGUUUCUUUUUUAUUUUAUUUUUUGGUACUGGGGA